rnacentral:rRNA from 1 species
UCCAGACUCCUACGGGAGGCAGCAGUGGGGAAUAUUGGGCAAUGGGCGCAAGCCUGACCCAGCAACGCCGCGUGAAGGAAGAAGGCUUUCGGGUUGUAAACUUCUUUUGUCAGGGACGAAGCAAGUGACGGUACCUGACGAAUAAGCCACGGCUAACUACGUGCCAGCAGCCGCGGUAAUACGUAGGUGGCAAGCGUUAUCCGGAUUUACUGGGUGUAAAGGGCGUGUAGGCGGGCCUGUAAGUCAGAAGUGAAAUCUGGGGGCUUAACCCCCAAACUGCUUUUGAAACUGCGGGUCUUGAGUGAUGGAGAGGCAGGCGGAAUUCCCAGUGUAGCGGUGAAAUGCGUAGAUAUUGGGAGGAACACCAGUGGCGAAGGCGGCCUGCUGGACAUUAACUGACGCUGAGGCGCGAAAGCGUGGGGAGCAAACAGGAUUAGAUACCCUUGUA